UAUGUCUACACUUAAGGGCCUGUUUCACCACUUCCUGAUAAGGCUAUCCAACACUUAACUUGACACAUAGAGUAUGGAAGAUCUGUCAAAUAAGCCUAUCUGGCACCUUAUCAGGAAGCGGUGAAACUGGCCCUUAAACUAAACUAAAUGUC